UAUCAUAUUAAUAGUGUGGACCUCCUUUUCCCUUCCCUCUCCCAUCUCAGGUUCAGAGUUGGAAAGUGCUAACAUACAGGACAGACUACGUUCUUCUUCAAGCAAAAAGAAUGAAGAGAAAUCAUUUGGUUUGUUUUCCUGAGAAUGAAGUGCUUCCAACUGCAGUUGAAGUUGGGCAACUUGGACUCCUGCUCAAUGGAAUCAGUACCAGUGAACACGGGAGCACUUCUCGACAGCUUUUUCCUGAAAGCCACUGAAGAUAUGGAUCUAGCCAAAGGCUCUGUCAAGAUGGAAGAAUAAAACCUCACAUAAGUAAGAGACAAG